rnacentral:lncRNA from 1 species
AGGAACUCACAAGACGUGUGGUGCCUGCCCAAAUGCCUAGCAUAGUGGUGAUAUGGGAGUUAUUGUCUAUGACGAGACAAAUAUAAUGAUGAGGACAUCCCUAGUUCACCUCGUUUGUCAUCUUCUCAUGAUAAAUCUCAGUUACAAUGCGCUCCUAGCUGAUCAUAAUUCAAAUAUCCAUGACAACUUUAUACUGCCUAAAUCUUGUGUGCUGGCUUUACUCGGGUACAAUGUUGAGGACAAGCAUCAACUUUCAGCCCAUGACAAAACAAGUUCUGCAACCCUUGCAACAAUUUUGAAGAAAGCAAGUUUCACCUCUGAUGUAAGCAUGUUUUGGUGACAACGGAAACUACGUACACUUCAGGUAUGAAUAGCAAGCCAUCUCAAUCUACUAUUGCACGCACAGUUCCAGGAUUCUUCCCAUAACUUGUUGCAUCAUGUCGCAUGAAUAUAUGAGUAUCUAGCAUGUGUGGAAGGCCGAAAUGGACAACAUAUGAAGUCUACUUUCAGAAAAAUCAAAUUGUGCAUCAUUUGGAGCCCUUGAUCAAAGAAUAUGAGAGUUCCAAUGCAAGUUGUCCACAACAUUAAUUGUUGUGUGAGGCUCCAUGGUUUGCUCCCUUUCCCAGCUGGUUAGUAUGAAUUUGAGCCCCUCUUUUGGACUAGUUUCACACCUAAGCUAGGAGGGUUGUUCCUAGUAUAAAUACCCCAUCCUCCACUUCUACUUUAGCUCUUGGACAUUAAUGCUCAAUUUCAUUUCAGCAUAGGUUAGCUAAGUGCUACCAGAAUCUUGUUUGAAAGUUCACUUCCUUAGCUCUUGUAAUCUUGCCUUGUGAGAGGGUAAACUCACUUUGUGAUUUUACAAUAUUAGUCGUUGAGUCAGUGACUAGUUCGUGCUUCCAACUUCUUCUGUGGUUGCGUGGAUUGGAAACUUAGAGUGUGGUUGGGUGAAUACUUGUUGGUUGUUGCAUAUGCAAUAGUUGGCUUUGGUCUCGUCAGGUUGCACUACUUCUCUUUACCCGGCAGCAUUGUUGGCUGGGAUUGAGGGUUUCCUUCUUACCCUUCAGGUGACAUUGGUUCGUUUCAUCAAGCAAAUCCUCCAUGAAGAUCGGCAACCCCGUAUCGCAUAACAUGCACCUACUCGAUGUCGCCAGUAGAUGGACGCCUUGUCGUCAAUGGAUGGAAGGAGAUCUAUGACAUCUACAACUUAACGGAGCCUGGAGACAAGAUAAUCGGCGUGCUCCAUCUAGGACAUGCAUGUCGUGCCCUUUUGCUACAUACCAUCGCUAAGGGGGUGGGUGACGAGUAAGUGUCUUUAGAGAGCCGAACAUGCAUGUCUCUUUUGAUUAUGGUUGUAUUUGUUAAGUACUCCCUUCGUCCCAUAAUGUAAGACGUGUACUAUAUAUGGUUGUAUUGUGAAGUACCUUGUUUUCAGAAUUGCUACGGUG